AAGCACAAAGGGAUAAGUCGACGGUUUCACGGGGAAAAGUUAUUUUUAAUGCAGCAGCAACAACAAAAUGGAGGCAGUGUCCUUCUCUCCCUCCAGCUGUUUCCAUCAUUCUGCUGUUGCCCUUCACCUCUCUCCCCCCCUCCCCCCACCAGGCCUUUUCCUUUGUCCACCAGGCUGUCCCUCUGUAAUCCACUGUGUCUUUUUUUUGUAGUGGUACAGCAUGUUGCUAAGCUGCACUUUGGCCCCUAAUGGACCCAGUCAAUGGGGCGAACUGCCACCCUGUUGUAUCUAUCCAGGUCAAGUGUGACCGCGUGGUGUUUGCGUGUGUGUGUGUGUGUGUGGUUUUGGACGGUGGCCAGAUUCGAGGAUUGUGUGUACAGCUUUCCUCUUUGGCCUGCUUGUUGUUUGGAUGUGUGCUUAAUGGCGGCGCUGCACGUUUGCAAAGAAAGAUAAGCGGCUUUUGAAAGGCUGCAACUGAUCUCAGUCGAGUUUGAUGUCCAGCUAAUCCGCCGCUACGUUUGGCGGCUUGAUUCUAGAUUCCUGCAACGUUCAGAGGGCCGAUGAUGUUCCGAGGAGGAGGUCAGACCGUGCGAACAACUUUGAUUCUCUUUUCUUUCUUCUCAGCCUCUGUGUCUGUGCAUGCAGGCAUCUAUUCAGUCUCACCUACUGUUUCCAGGCUACAGAGCUGCACUCCACAGCCCCGCGCUGCUGCUGCUGCUGCUGCUGCUGUUAUAGAAAAGUCUGCUCUGCUCUCCCAGCAGAGAGGGAACAGUUCUGGUUCUGAACACAAGCACGCUUUUAUCUUGGCUCUCUGCAUUUUAUUUGGUUUUAUAAAUGAGAAGUGUGUCACUGAAUGAGAAAGUUAAACAUUGUGUGGAUAGGCAAGUGGCGAAAAUAAAGUGUUAUUUGGUGACUUUACCCCCCCAUACCUCUUGUUUUUGCUCGUGUUUUUUUUUUGUUACUUCACAGUUACUGUACCCUUUCCUGCACAGUGACACAUUUCUUGAUGUUUCUUGUCAUAAUCAGGCAAAAGGACUUUUGUAAGAAUUAAUAAUUUUUUUUUUUUAAAUGUU